rnacentral:rRNA from 1 species
AGCGAACGCUGGCGGCAGGCUUAACACAUGCAAGUCGAGCGGGCACUUCGGUGUCAGCGGCAGACGGGUGAGUAACACGUGGGAACGUACCCUUUGGUUCGGAAUAACGCUGGGAAACUAGCGCUAAUACCGGAUACGCCCUUUUGGGGAAAGGCUUGCUGCCGAAGGAUCGGCCCGCGUCUGAUUAGCUAGUUGGUGGGGUAAUGGCCUACCACGGCGACGAUCAGUAGCUGGUCUGAGAGGAUGAUCAGCCACACUGGGACUGAGACACGGCCCAGACUCCUACGGGAGGCAGCAGUGGGGAAUAUUGGACAAUGGGCGCAAGCCUGAUCCAGCCAUGCCGCGUGAGUGAUGAAGGCCUUAGGGUUGUAAAGCUCUUUUGUCCGGGACGAUAAUGACGGUACCGGAAGAAUAAGCCCCGGCUAACUUCGUG